rnacentral:lncRNA from 1 species
CCACAGAGCCACUGCAGGCAGGCCUACGGACGUGACACGCACGCUGGUGGUCCCGGAGCCAGGGUUGAUUCAGGACACCAUCUUGGGCUCUUAUCCAGGAAAGAAAGAGUCGGCGUGCCUGGGGGCACCUGCUAGUCUCCAGCUGCAGGCCGACUCUUUCCUGGCCUGCUCAGCACCUGCCCAGAUGGCCUCUGCGUCUUUCCUGUGCCCAGCCCCACCUUUUCCACCUCUCUUCAUGUUCUCAUGGAGUGCAAAGUGCACCAGCCAGGGCCCCUACCUGGGAGAGGGUCAGCUGACGCAGGGCUGAGGGGGCUGCCACAGGGACGUACGCUGUGUGUUCUUACUGCUUAGAAGGGACGGGGUCACUCACCACUCCCCUGGUCUCCAUCUGGGCUCCUUGGUCUUCCCUGCCCCUCCCCUAACCGUGUUCUACCUGCCAGUGGAGCUGAGCACUGCCUAGCCUGGGCCAGAGGGGCACUGGACAAGGGCCUUUGGGGGACAGUAAGUCUGGGCCCAGCUUCUAGUUCUAAUGUGUGCAAGAUUAACUCACAAAUUCACCUCAGAAGGCCUUUCCAAAUGGGAGCUCCACUCUUCCCCUCCUCUGCAAAUCUUCACAGCCAAGGCCCCUUCCACCCUCUCCAGAGGUGGAUGAGAUCCCUUUUCCCCUCCCCUCUGAGGUGCUGACUCACUGGUAGGAGCCACCCACCAGAGGAAAGAUCUAGAACGUCUUUACAGAUUGGAGACAGCCGGGCCUGCUGACCCAUCAUCCGAAUAGCUGAAGCAGAGUCUUCCACCAGGGGUGCCAGGGCCUGGCUGGGUCCAGCGGCUCUGGGAUGAGCCUCCCAAGCAUCUUUCCCACUUGGGUGGCCAUGCGGCGCUGACAUUGGACAGGCUACGAAGAACCUGGUGCCUCAGGACCUCCUGGGAGCCAAGCUGGUCUGGCAAGGGCGCUCAGGCCUGGGAGAGAAGGGAGCAAUGGCCAGUCACCUUCACCUUCUAACUAACUAGCCUCCGGAUGAGGUGGCUGCCACCAGGCCCGAAUGAUCCCCAGGAGCCCAGCUUCCAAACCCCAACAUCGAAUCAAACAUCUCCAUCCCCAAGUGCAGUAACACACAAAAACCAAACACUCUGCCCUGGGAAAGGCCUGGUGCGAUUCUCAGUAGGACUCACACCCACCCUACCUAGAAGUACUGGGCUGGCCUGGGUACUGCAUCCGUGUGUUUUGAUAAGGGGGUGAUGUGGCCACGCCCUUAUCUAGAUUUCACUUUGUAUCCACUGGGCACAGAUAUUCUAGAGAACUUAUCUUUCACUCUUGUAAAAGCCACAUAUCCACAUCUCUUUCAUUUUUCUCAGUGUGUUAUGCAGCAAUUUAUUAAAGUAUUUAUUGUCUAAUAAAUACUGCCAAGUGGAAUAUAUUUAUAUAACUGACUUCGUGGGGUGGUUCAAGUACUUACUUAAGAACUAUGUGACACAACAGUUACAAAACAAAAGGCAGACCUUAAGAUCCGGAAUCAAUCCUUUAGCCCAGGUUCACUAAACUAAGCACAGUAAGGAGGAACCUGGAAGGUGAAGUGGAGAUGGCCUCCAGCCUCUACGUGGGAGGGACUCCCUUGAAGGCUGGGAGUGAACCUUCCUGGGAAACUAGGGUCAAGCCUCUCGGGAACA